AUACUUACCUGGAAGAGGAAGACUCUGAUCACCAAGGUGGUUUUCCCAGAGUGAAGAAUAUUCAUUGCACUCCAGAUGUGCUCAACCUGCGAUUUCCCCAAAUGUGGUAGUGGGGGACUGCGUUUCUGCC
rnacentral:snRNA from 1 species